rnacentral:rRNA from 1 species
GUGUACCUACGGGAGGCAGCAGUGAGGAAUAUUGGUCAAUGGGCGGGAGCCUGAACCAGCCAAGCCGCGUGAGGGAAGAAGGGACAGCGUAUCGUAAACCUCUUUUGUCAGGGAACAAAGGCGGGGACUAGUCCCCGGAUGAGGGUACCUGAAGAAAAAGCAUCGGCUAACUCCGUGCCAGCAGCCGCGGUAAUACGGAGGAUGCGAGCGUUAUCCGGAUUUAUUGGGUUUAAAGGGGGCGCAGGCGGCCUGUUAAGU